AUUCUUGCCCUUGUCAUAAAGGAGCAAUUACAAAGUCAUCAGUCCUUACUACCUUCAUCCACUCUUUUUUCCUCUGAAUGUUUACUGUUCAUGUGACAUUUAUAUCUUUGUGUUGGUGAUGUUUGAAUCAGAUCUGGUAUUAGAUGUUUCAUUUGCAUUACUUCUCUACCCUACAAAGUAUAAUUCAAAGAGCAAUUCUUUGUGCACCUUGUGCGGUACAGAAAAUUAAGCACCGCAUGUGAUGAUUUUCUCACGCACGGGUUUAGGGAUAUCAGUAAAAAUUUUUUUUUGCCGGUCUCGUGCGAGAGCGAAUCAUCGCACAUGGUGCAUGAUUUUCUACACUGCAUGCGGUGCACAAAAAAUUUCGCUAAUUCAGGACCAUAAAAAACAUACCACAGCUCAAGUAUUUCAUGCUACUUAGCAUUGUUGCAAUUGUAUGACCCAUCAUUGAACUAAAAUAGUUUAACCCUAACAGGCAAAUGGGUUUUGGCUCAAGUUCUAGUUUAAUUAGAGCCCUACCAAGUCCAAGAGAAGGUGCUUGUACUGUUGGAUGAGAUUGGAUGCUAGAAAUACACAAAACCCCAGAGAAGACUUACUAAUCCUCACUGCUGUGACCGUAACCAGAAUGGGGCCUGAAUCCCUUAUUCAUUGUGAGCUGAAAGGAAGGAAAAGAAGACAGUGAGUUGCUAACAACCCAUUUGUGGGAUAGUGGUCAGGGUAUCCCCAUGCAGACAGGUUGCGGGUUUAAGUCCCUUCCAAUUGGGUACUGGUGUAGGCCUAUCUUGAGUACAUCAGAGUGGGAGGUGAGGACGCCAUGUUCAUGUCUGAUGUGACCAAGAGAG
rnacentral:lncRNA from 1 species